rnacentral:misc_RNA from 1 species
AACCUUGAACUGCAGAAAUGUGACAGUUCUUCAACCGGUAAUCAAGUCUGAGGGAUGAGAAUCCUUGUAAUAUAUCACCGAACCAAUCUGAAACUCUGACAAACAAAAACCUACGGGAAUUUCCCCAAAACUUUGGCUUAUGCAGGAAUAUUGUGGAAAUAAGAUCGGCAAACGAUUACAAGUGAAAAGCUCAAAGAUCGACAGACAUUUCUACAACAGAUCCUGGCAUGGCCAAAUGAGCAAUUGUUUUAACACAUCGUCUAGUUUAAGAAAUCAAGAUUCAGUGUAGUUGUCGUUCUCCUGGUGGAACAGCCAGCCACCGCCAUUCAGAG